GCCAAGAAUCUUGGGCAAUGGACGAAAGUCUGACCCAGCAACGCCGUGUGGAAGAUGAAGGCCUUCGGGUUGUAAAUUCCUGUCAGAAGGGACGAAGAUAUACAGGUUAAUAUCCUGUAUAGUUGACUGUACCUUCAAAGGAAGCCCCGGCUAAUUACGUGCCAGCAGCCGCGGUAAGACGUAUGGGGCAAGCGUUGCUCGGAUUUACUGGGCGUAAAGGGCGCGUAGGUGGUAUCGAAAGUCAAAUGUGAAAUCCCACAGCUCAACUGUGGACACGCAUUUGAAACUUCGAUACUUGAGUUCAGGUGAAGAGAAUGGAAUUCCAGGUGUAGGGGUGAAAUCUGUAGAUAUCUGGAAGAACACCAGUGGCGAAGGCGAUUCUCUAACCUGAUACUGACACUGAGGCGCGAAAGCGUGGGGAGCAAACAGGAUUAGAAACCCCGGUAGUCC
rnacentral:rRNA from 1 species